GGUCGGUUGGCCAAGCGGUAAAGACAUAUCUCUUUCACGGAUAUAACGCAGGUUCAAAUCCUGCACCGACCA
rnacentral:tRNA from 1 species